rnacentral:rRNA from 2 species
ACCUGAAACCGUGUACGUACAAGCAGUGGGAGCACAGGUUUACCUGUGUGACUGCGUACCUUUUGUAUAAUGGGUCAGCGACUUAUAUUCUGUAGCAAGGUUAACCGAAUAGGGGAGCCGGAGGGAAACCGAGUCUUAAUUGGGCGUUAAGUUGCAGGGUAUAGACCCGAAACCCGGUGAUCUAGCCAUGGGCAGGUUGAAGGUUGGGUAACACUAACUGGAGGACCGAACCGACUAAUGUUGAAAAAUUAGCGGAUGACCUGUGGCUGGGGGUGAAAGGCCAAUCAAACCGGGAGAUAGCUGGUUCUCCCCGAAAGCUAUUUAGGUAGCGCCUCGUGAAUUCAUCUCCGGGGGUAGAGCACUGUUUCGGCUAGGGGGCCAUCCCGGCUUACCAACCCGAUGCAAACUGCGAAUACCGGAGAAUGUUAUCACGGGAGACACACGGCGGGUGCUAACGUCCGUCGUGAAGAGGGAAACAACCCAGACCGCCAGCUAAGGUCCCAAAGUCAUGGUUAAGUGGGAAACGAUGUGGGAAGGCCCAGACAGCCAGGAUGUUGGCUUAGAAGCAGCCAUCAUUUAAAGAAAGCGUAAUAGCUCACUGGUCGAGUCGGCCUGCGCGGAAGAUGUAACGGGGCUAAACCAUG